UUAUCUUAUGUCACUCUGACAUCAGCACAGAGAACGGUCAUUAGUGUCAUUUAGUGCUCGCGGAAUGAAAGAGAAAGUAGAAAAGACUUUUCGGUGAAAUUCCAAUACAAAAUGUAUGAAAGAAUAAACAUUACAGGGAGACAAAAAAUGAUUUUUAGGGAAAAAAUAAUUCAAAAUGUUGGCCUUCUGUUUGUUUUCUGUAGUAGAAAAAUGGCCCAAUUAUGUAAUUUACAAAGAUGCGAGAUCCACACCAAACAGUCACCAAAACAAUUCAUUGGAAAUAUGUUUUACUUAUCCACAGUGGAUUUUUCUAAGCAUAGUAAUGACUGUGGUACACUAUCAUUGUCAGAAAAUUGGGCUUCAUCACUGAAUAAAUUUUUUUGAAGAAAGUUGUUGUCAACUUGUAUGUGUGUUUUGAUAAAGAAAUAAAACUCUAA